rnacentral:misc_RNA from 1 species
GAUGAAGAACGUAGUGAAAUGCGAUAAGUAAUGUGAAUUGCAGAAUUCCGUGAAUCAUCGAAUCUUUGAACGCACAUUGCGCCCCUUGGUAUUCCAUGGGGCAUGCCUGUUCGAGCGUCAUUUGUACCUUCAAGCUUUGCUUGGUGUUGGGUGUUUGUCUCGCCUUUGCGUGUAGACUCGCCUUAAAAUAAUUGGCAGCCGGCGUAUUGAUUUCGGAGCGCAGUACAUCUCGCGCUUUGCACUCAUAACGACAGCGUCCAAAAGUACAUUUUACACUCUUGACCUCGGAUCAGGUAGGGAUACCCGCUGAACUUAAGCAUAUCAAUAAGCGGAGGA